rnacentral:rRNA from 1 species
UACGUAGGGGGCGAGCGUUGUCCGGAAUUAUUGGGCGUAAAGCGCGCGUAGGCGGCCGGUUAAGUCCUGUGUGAAAGACCACGGCUCAACCGUGGGGGUGCAUGGGAAACUGGCCGGCUUGAGUGCAGGAGAGGGGAGCGGAAUUCCCGGUGUAGCGGUGGAAUGCGUAGAGAUCGGGAGGAACACCAGUGGCGAAGGCGGCUCUCUGGCCUGUAACUGACGCUGAGGCGCGAAAGCGUGGGGAGCGAACAGGAUUAGAUACCCUGGUAGUCCACGCCGUAAACGAUGAGUGCUAGGUGUUGGGGGCAUCAGGCCCUCUGUGCCGAAGGAAACCCAAUAAGCACUCCGCCUGGGGAGUACGGCCGCAAGGCUGAA